GGGUUGUGAGGUUAAGCGACUAAGCGUACACGGUGGAUGCCCUGGCAGUCAGAGGCGAUGAAGGGCGUGCUAAUCUGCGAUAAGCGCCGGUAAGGUGAUAUGAACCGUUAUAACCGGCGAUACCCGAAUGGGGAAACCCAGUGUGAUUCGUCACACUAUCAUUAACUGAAUCCAUAGGUUAAUGAGGCGAACCGGGGGAACUGAAACAUCUAAGUACCCCGAGGAAAAGAAAUCAACCGAGAUUCCCCCAGUAGCGGCGAGCGAACGGGGAGGAGCCCAGAGCCUGAAUCAGCAUGUGUGUUAGUGGAAGCGUCUGGAAAGGCGCGCGAUACAGGGUGACAGCCCCGUACACAAAAGCGCAUGUGCUGUGAGCUCGAUGAGUAGGGCGGGACACGUGGUAUCCUGUCUGAAUAUGGGGGACCAUCCUCCAAGGCUAAAUACUCCUGACUGACCGAUAGUGAACCAGUACCGUGAGGGAAAGGCGAAAAGAACCCCGGCGAGGGGAGUGAAAAAGAACCUGAAACCGUGUACGUACAAGCAGUGGGAGCACAGGUUUACCUGUGUGACUGCGUACCUUUUGUAUAAUGGGUCAGCGACUUAUAUUCUGUAGCAAGGUUAACCGUAUAGGGGAGCCGGAGGGAAACCGAGUCUUAAUUGGGCGUUAAGUUGCAGGGUAUAGACCCGAAACCCGGUGAUCUAGCCAUGGGCAGGUUGAAGGUUGGGUAACACUAACUGGAGGACCGAACCGACUAAUGUUGAAAAAUUAGCGGAUGACCUGUGGCUGGGGGUGAAAGGCCAAUCAAACCGGGAGAUAGCUGGUUCUCCCCGAAAGCUAUUUAGGUAGCGCCUCGUGAAUUCAUCUCCGGGGGUAGAGCACUGUUUCGGCUAGGGGGCCAUCCCGGCUUACCAACCCGAUGCAAACUGCGAAUACCGGAGAAUGUUAUCACGGGAGACACACGGCGGGUGCUAACGUCCGUCGUGAAGAGGGAAACAACCCAGACCGCCAGCUAAGGUCCCAAAGUCAUGGUUAAGUGGGAAACGAUGUGGGAAGGCCCAGACAGCCAGGAUGUUGGCUUAGAAGCAGCCAUCAUUUAAAGAAAGCGUAAUAGCUCACUGGUCGAGUCGGCCUGCGCGGAAGAUGUAACGGGGCUAAACCAUGCACCGAAGCUGCGGCAGCGAACGUAUCACCCAAGACAACUUUACGGAGUUGACGAUUGACGGAGCGAAGCGACGUCAAAGCGUUCAUUAAAGUCGAGUUGGCUUAGGGAUACGUUCGUUGGGUAGGGGAGCGUUCUGUAAGCCUGUGAAGGUGUGUCGUGAGGCAUGCUGGAGGUAUCAGAAGUGCGAAUGCUGACAUAAGUAACGAUAAAGCGGGUGAAAAGCCCGCUCGCCGGAAGACCAAGGGUUCCUGUCCAACGUUAAUCGGGGCAGGGUGAGUCGACCCCUAAGGCGAGGCCGAAAGGCGUAGUCGAUGGGAAACGGGUUAAUAUUCCCGUACUUGGUGUUACUGCGAAGGGGGGACGGAGAAGGCUAUGUUGGCCGGGCGACGGUUGUCCCGGUUUAAGCGUGUAGGUGUGUGUUCCAGGUAAAUCCGGUUCACUUUAACACUGAGGCGUGACGACGAGGCACUACGGUGCUGAAGCAACAAAUGCCCUGCUUCCAGGAAAAGCCUCUAAGCAUCAGGUAACAUCAAAUCGUACCCCAAACCGACACAGGUGGUCAGGUAGAGAAUACCAAGGCGCUUGAGAGAACUCGGGUGAAGGAACUAGGCAAAAUGGUGCCGUAACUUCGGGAGAAGGCACGCUGACACGUAGGUGAAGUGAUUUACUCAUGGAGCUGAAGUCAGUCGAAGAUACCAGCUGGCUGCAACUGUUUAUUAAAAACACAGCACUGUGCAAACACGAAAGUGGACGUAUACGGUGUGACGCCUGCCCGGUGCCGGAAGGUUAAUUGAUGGGGUCAGCGUAAGCGAAGCUCCUGAUCGAAGCCCCGGUAAACGGCGGCCGUAACUAUAACGGUCCUAAGGUAGCGAAAUUCCUUGUCGGGUAAGUUCCGACCUGCACGAAUGGCGUAAUGAUGGCCAGGCUGUCUCCACCCGAGACUCAGUGAAAUUGAACUCGCUGUGAAGAUGCAGUGUACCCGCGGCAAGACGGAAAGACCCCGUGAACCUUUACUAUAGCUUGACACUGAACAUUGAGCCUUGAUGUGUAGGAUAGGUGGGAGGCUUUGAAGUGUGGACGCCAGUCUGCAUGGAGCCGACCUUGAAAUACCACCCUUUAAUGUUUGAUGUUCUAACGUGGACCCGUAAUCCGGGUUGCGGACAGUGUCUGGUGGGUAGUUUGACUGGGGCGGUCUCCUCCUAAAGAGUAACGGAGGAGCACGAAGGUUGGCUAAUCCUGGUCGGACAUCAGGAGGUUAGUGCAAUGGCAUAAGCCAGCUUGACUGCGAGCGUGACGGCGCGAGCAGGUGCGAAAGCAGGUCAUAGUGAUCCGGUGGUUCUGAAUGGAAGGGCCAUCGCUCAACGGAUAAAAGGUACUCCGGGGAUAACAGGCUGAUACCGCCCAAGAGUUCAUAUCGACGGCGGUGUUUGGCACCUCGAUGUCGGCUCAUCACAUCCUGGGGCUGAAGUAGGUCCCAAGGGUAUGGCUGUUCGCCAUUUAAAGUGGUACGCGAGCUGGGUUUAGAACGUCGUGAGACAGUUCGGUCCCUAUCUGCCGUGGGCGCUGGAGAACUGAGGGGGGCUGCUCCUAGUACGAGAGGACCGGAGUGGACGCAUCACUGGUGUUCGGGUUGUCAUGCCAAUGGCACUGCCCGGUAGCUAAAUGCGGAAGAGAUAAGUGCUGAAAGCAUCUAAGCACGAAACUUGCCCCGAGAUGAGUUCUCCCUGAGACUUAGAGUCUCCUGAAGGAACGUUGAAGACGACGACGUUGAUAGGCCGGGUGUGUAAGCGCAGCGAUGCGUUGAGCUAACCGGUACUAAUGAACCGUGAGGCUUAACCUUACAACGCCGAAG
rnacentral:rRNA from 1 species